UGGCUUAGUGGUAGAGUGCUUGCCUUGCAUGCAUGAGGCCUUGGGUUCGAUUCCUCA
rnacentral:tRNA from 1 species